GUGGGGAAUAUUGGACAAUGGGGGGAACCCUGAUCCAGCCAUGCCGCGUGUGUGAAGAAGGCCUUUUGGUUGUAAAGCACUUUAAGCGAGGAGGAGGCUACCGAGAUUAAUACUCUUGGAUAGUGGACGUUACUCGCAGAAUAAGCACCGGCUAACUCUGUGCCAGCAGUCGCGGUAAUACAGAGGGUGCAAGCGUUAAUCGGAUUUACUGGGCGUAAAGCGCGCGUAGGUGGCCAAUUAAGUCAAAUGUGAAAUCCCCGAGCUUAACUUGGGAAUUGCAUUCGAUACUGGUUGGCUAGAGUAUGGGAGAGGAUGGUAGAAUUCCAGGUGUAGCGGUGAAAUGCGUAGAGAUCUGGAGGAAUACCGAUGGCGAAGGCAGCCAUCUGGCCUAAUACUGACACUGAGGUGCGAAAGCAUGGGGAGCAAACAGGAUUAGAAACCCUUGUAGUCC
rnacentral:rRNA from 1 species